rnacentral:rRNA from 1 species
CCCGCAAUGAGUUUGGUUUCUGGCUCAGGAUGAACGCUAGCGGCAGGCUAUACAUGCAAGUCGGACGGGAUCCAUCGGCGAGCUUGCUCGAAGAUGGUGAGAGUGGCGCACGGGUGCGUAACGCGUGAGCAACCUACCUCUAUCAGGGGGAUAGCCUCUCGAAGAGAGAUUAACACCGCAUAACAUCAACAGUUCGCAUGUUCGGUUGAUUAAUAUUUAUAGGAUAGAGAUGGGCUCGCGUGACAUAGCUAGUUGGUAGGGUAACGGCUUACCAAGGCGACGAUGUCUAGGGGCUCUGAGAGGAGAAUCCCCCACACUGGUACUGAGACACGGACCAGACUCCUACGGGAGGCAGCAGUAAGGAAUAUUGGUCAAUGGGCGGAAGCCUGAACCAGCCAUGCCGCGUGCAGGAUGACUGCCCUAUGGGUUGUAAACUGCUUUUGUCCAGGAAUAAACCCAGAUACGUGUAUCUGGCUGAAUGUACUGGAAGAAUAAGGAUCGGCUAACUCCGUGCCAGCAGCCGCGGUAAUACGGAGGAUCCGAGCGUUAUCCGGAUUUAUUGGGUUUAAAGGGUGCGUAGGCGGCCAAUUAAGUCAGGGGUGAAAUACGGUGGCUCAACCAUCGCAGUGCCUUUGAUACUGAUUGGCUUGAAUCCAUUUGAAGUGGGCGGAAUAAGACAAGUAGCGGUGAAAUGCAUAGAUAUGUCUUAGAACUCCGAUUGCGAAGGCAGCUCACUAAGCUGGUAUUGACGCUGAUGCACGAAAGCGUGGGGAUCGAACAGGAUUAGAUACCCUGGUAGUCCACGCCCUAAACGAUGAUAACUCGAUGUUGGCGAUAGACAGCCAGCGUCCCAGCGAAAGCGUUAAGUUAUCCACCUGGGGAGUACGCCCGCAAGGGUGAAACUCAAAGGAAUUGACGGGGGCCCGCACAAGCGGAGGAGCAUGUGGUUUAAUUCGAUGAUACGCGAGGAACCUUACCCGGGCUUGAAAGUUAGUGAAGGAUGCAGAGACGCAUCCGUCCUUCGGGACACGAAACUAGGUGCUGCAUGGCUGUCGUCAGCUCGUGCCGUGAGGUGUUGGGUUAAGUCCCGCAACGAGCGCAACCCCUAUGUUUAGUUGCCAGCAUUUAAGGUGGGGACUCUAAACAGACUGCCUGCGCAAGCAGAGAGGAAGGUGGGGACGACGUCAAGUCAUCAUGGCCCUUACGUCCGGGGCUACACACGUGCUACAAUGGAUGGUACAGCGGGCAGCUACAUAGCAAUAUGAUGCUAAUCUCUAAAAGCCAUUCACAGUUCGGAUUGGGGUCUGCAACUCGACCCCAUGAAGUUGGAUUCGCUAGUAAUCGCGUAUCAGCAAUGACGCGGUGAAUACGUUCCCGGGCCUUGUACACACCGCCCGUCAAGCCAUGAAAGUUGGGGGUACCUAAAGCAUGUUACCGCACGGAGCGUGUUAGGGUAAAACCGAUAUUGGGCUAAGUCGUACAGGGUAACCCGUAGGAGCUCUCUCACCGAUCUCGAAGCAGCUCCGCCGAUGAUCCAGUCUGACUGCAGUAUAGCCUGCCGCUAGCGUUCAUCCAGAGCCUGAACAAACUUCUACGGUAC